ACGGGAGGCAGCAGUGGGGGAUAUUGCACAAUGGGGGGAACCCUGAUGCAGCGACGCCGCGUGAGUGAAGAAGUAUUUCGGUAUGUAAAGCUCUUUAAGCUGGAAAGAUAAUGACGGUACCAGCAGAAUAAGCCCCGGCUAACUACGUGCCAGCAGCCGCGGUAAUACGAGGGGUGCAAGCGUUGUUCGGAAUCACUGGGCGUAAAGGGAGCGCAGGCGGAGAUGCAAGCAGUCUGUACAAUACCGGGGCCCAACCCCGGACCUGCAGACUGGACUGUUUCUCUUGGAUAGUUCAGGGGCAGGCGGAAUUCCUGGUGUAGCGGUGGAAUGCGUAGAGAUCAGGAAGAACACCGAUGGCGAAGGCAGCCUGCUGGGGACUCAUCGACGCUGAGGCUCGAAAGUGCGGGUAGCAAACAGGAUUAGAUACCCUGGUA
rnacentral:rRNA from 1 species